rnacentral:rRNA from 1 species
CCUACGGGUGGCAGCAGUGAGGAAUAUUGGUCAAUGGCCGCAAGGCUGAACCAGCCAAGUCGCGUGAGGGAUGACGGUCCUAUGGAUUGUAAACCUCUUUUGUAAGGGAGCAAAGGGCGCCACGUGUGGCGGAUUGCGAGUACCUGAAGAAAAAGCAUCGGCUAACUCCGUGCCAGCAGCCGCGGUAAUACGGAGGAUGCGAGCGUUAUCCGGAUUUAUUGGGUGUAAAGGGUGUGCAGGCGGAAUGUCAAGUCAGCGGUAAAAUGUCGGGGCUCAACCCCGUCGUGCCGUUGAAACUGGCGUUCUUGAGUGAGCGAGAAGUAUGCGGAAUGCGUGGUGUAGCGGUGAAAUGCAUAGAUAUCACGCAGAACUCCGAUUGCGAAGGCAGCAUACCGGCGCUCAACUGACGCUCAUGCACGAAAGCGUGGGUAGCGAACAGGAUUAGAUACCCCUGUAGUC